rfam:Otolemur garnettii contig008926, whole genome shotgun sequence.
CCUCCAGGGGCAGCUGUCAACAUCUGAGCCUGCAGUUAAGGCCAGACGUGGGGGUGGGAGCUCAGGCCACAAUGACUUGGCUCUCGGCU